UACAGAGGGGGCAAGCGUUAUUCGGAAUUAUUGGGCGUAAAGGGCGCGUAGGCGGCGAUUCAAGUGACGGGUGAAAUCCCUCGGCUUAACCGAGGAACUGCCUGUCAGACUGGAUUGCUUGAGGCCGGGAGAGGCGAGUGGAAUUCCCAGUGUAGCGGUGAAAUGCGUAGAUAUCUGGAGGAACACCGGUGGCGAAGGCGGCGUCCUGGACCAAUACUGACACUGAGGAGCGAAAGCCAGGGGAGCAAACGGG
rnacentral:rRNA from 1 species